rnacentral:rRNA from 1 species
UACAGGGGGUGCAAACGUUGUUCGGAAUUACUGGGCGUAAAGGGCGCGUAGGCGGCCUUCUAAGUCGAACGUGAAAUCCCCGGGCUCAACCCGGGAACUGCGUCCGAUACUGGAAGGCUUGAAUCCGGGAGAGGGAUGCGGAAUUCCAGGUGUAGCGGUGAAAUGCGUAGAUAUCUGGAGGAACACCGGUGGCGAAGGCGGCAUCCUGGACCGGUAUUGACGCUGAGGCGCGAAAGCCAGGGGAGCAAACGGG